GUUGGUUUCCUUCUGGCUGCUGUUGGUGUGUGUGUGGGGCAGAAGAUCUCCAGGACAAUGUGGUGAAACAGGGCUUGCUCCAGGUCUGGAGGGGCCACUGGUAUAUGAGCACCAAGCGGCAUCCACCUGUGUUUAAUCUGGAUAAGACUUUCAGCUACCUGUUCAGGCCUGAUAUUGAGGGUCCAAAGGAUCUCUAAUAGGAGCACCUAUGAUAUGUAACAAUAGCCUUUCAUAUGCUUAGAAAAAAACCCCAAUAAAUUACUGAUGAGUGUUGCAUGCACAUAAGGAUGGGGGGGAAGAGGAGAAAUUUUUGAGGAACCCUCUGCUUCCCUGGUAUACCCUGAAAAUAUAUCCCUGAGGGUCAGAGGAUCUUCAGGGACAGAUUUAUAUCAGGCACUUGGGACAGCAGAUUGAAGGGGAGUUUGGUAAAAAUCACUCCUUCCCUAUUUGCAUGAACAAAAUGCUUUCCAAUGUACAUGAGAAUAAUCAGAAUGCGAGCCACAUAUUUUAAAAGCCAAUGUGCAAUAUUUUCCCCUAUAAUAUAGAAUGUGUAUUCUGUAUUACUGAUGCCUCAAAGCACUUGAUACAAGCUUGGCUUUUCUGUAUUUAGAAAUGCUAGAAAAGAGACAUUAAAUUUACAUCUUUGUUUUCUACUGCA